UACGGGGGGGGUAAGCGUUGUUCGGAAUUACUGGGCGUAAAGGGCUCGUAGGCGGCCAACUAAGUCGGACGUGAAAUCCCCGGGCUCAACCUGGGAACUGCAUUUGUGACUGCAAGGCUAGAGUACGGUAGAGGGGGAUGGAAUUCCGCGUGUAGCAGUGAAAUGCGUAGAUAUGCGGAGGAACACCGAUGGCGAAGGCAAUCCCCUGGACCUGUACUGACGCUCAUGCACGAAAGCGUGGGGAGCAAACAGG
rnacentral:rRNA from 1 species